UACGUAGGGUGCAAGCGUUAAUCGGAAUUACUGGGCGUAAAGCGUGCGCAGGCGGUUCGUUGUGUCGGCGGUGAAAGCCCCGGGCUUAACCUGGGAAUGGCCGUUGAAACUGGCGAACUGGAGUGUGGCAGAGGGGGGUGGAAUUCCGCGUGUAGCAGUGAAAUGCGUAGAGAUGCGGAGGAACACCGAUGGCGAAGGCAGCCCCCUGGGCUAACACUGACGCUCAGGCACGAAAGCGUGGGGAGCAAACAGG
rnacentral:rRNA from 1 species